rnacentral:rRNA from 1 species
UACGAAGGGGGCUAGCGUUGCUCGGAAUCACUGGGCGUAAAGGGUGCGUAGGCGGGUCUUUAAGUCAGGGGUGAAAUCCUGGAGCUCAACUCCAGAACUGCCUUUGAUACUGAAGAUCUUGAGUUCGGGAGAGGUGAGUGGAACUGCGAGUGUAGAGGUGAAAUUCGUAGAUAUCAGGAGGAACACCGGUGGUGUAGACGGCUUACUGGACCACGACUGACACUGAGGCACGAAAGCGUGGGUAGCAAACAGG